GACGAACGCUGGCGGCGUGCUUAACACAUGCAAGUCGAACGGAAAGGCCCUGCUUUUGUGGGGUGCUCGAGUGGCGAACGGGUGAGUAACACGUGAGUAACCUGCCCUUGACUUUGGGAUAACUUCAGGAAACUGGGGCUAAUACCGGAUAGGAGCUCCUGCUGCAUGGUGGGGGUUGGAAAGUUUCGGCGGUUGGGGAUGGACUCGCGGCUUAUCAGCUUGUUGGUGGGGUAGUGGCUUACCAAGGCUUUGACGGGUAGCCGGCCUGAGAGGGUGACCGGCCAUAUUGGGACUGAGAUGCGGCCCAGACUCCUACGGGAGGCAGCAGUGGGGAAUAUUGCACAAUGGGCGGAAGCCUGAUGCAGCAACGCCGCGUGCGGGAUGACGGCCUUCGGGUUGUAAACCGCUUUCGCCUGUGACGAAGCGUGAGUGACGGUAAUGGGUAAAGAAGCACCGGCUAACUACGUG
rnacentral:rRNA from 1 species